UUAAUUGUAUUUUAAUUUAUUCUUGGAUUAACAUGCAAAUUGGCUACAAGCCUAAUAAGCAUUCGAAUAAAAUUUUACAAAAGUAAUAUAGGCAUAAUCCAUCUUUAGUUAGCAUGAAAUGUCUACCCUAAUAUAAGGUGGCAGCACAUCACAUCUUCCUUAAGAAUGAAAUAUCUUAUUUUUACUUCAAUGAUCACGAAGAGCAGUUGUAUAAACUUCAUAUUUAAAAUCACAUAAAUUAAACAUGAAAUAAAAGAAAAUAUUCAUUGAAAACAAUAAGUUCAUACAACUCCAAGAAUAUAAAAUUAAAAUAUAAAACCCUUGGCCCUUUGUUAGGGCUACAUCCAGCCCUAGUGAGUAGAUCUGUCUUCCAUGGAGUCGUGGGCGACAGCAGCAACGAUGUAGAAGGCCUUCAUCACGAUUGGGUUCUCCCUCUUUUCUCCCAUUGGCUUCCUCUCCCUCUUGAAUUUCAUUAUUUUUUUUCUUUAGGAAAUCAUUCCCAAAAUACCCAAAGUCUCCUCUCCCUUGGUUCUUGGGUGGGAACUCCUCAGAAGGGAUGACGAACCGAACCCCCAAGCUUCAUGAAUCAACCCCGGCUCCCUCUGGUGGGGAAGAAGAAUGGUGAAGCGUGAGAGGAUGAAGGUGAUGAUAAUGCUAUGGUCCCCCGGUGGGGAAGAAGAAUGAAUCCCAAAGAAAACCCUCCUGCUUUUUUAGCAUCUCAACCCCCCCUAUUUCGUGUGAAGGAUAAGCUUGAAUGUGGGAUAAGGAUGGAAACGGCUGGGUGGAGUUGAGAUUUGUUGGCCGCAGGAGAUCCGGACAUGGGAGAAGUUGGAAGGAACUCACGGACGCUGGGAUGAACUGGAAGGGAGUGAUUUGUGAAGCUCUGUUCCUUGAUCCUUGGACACGCUGCAGGAUGGAGUUGAUCUGGCUGCGUGGAGGAGUCUGGAUGGGAAGCUGAAUUCCUGGGAUCUUUGUGGAUGAAUUCUUGUUCUGCUGGGGAGAAUCCGGAAGAAAGCGGUGCUGGAUUCGGCUGGAAAAUAAGCUUGAUCGCGCAUAGAAGAUUGCUGCUUCAUCUCUUCCGGAUCAACUCGAAACAGGGGAUGGAGCGGGAAUGCUGGGAACGGCUUGGGAGAUGUCUGUGAAAGGAGGGAAUGGUUGGAUCAAAGGGAUAAGCUUGGAUGACUUCGUCCGGCCGUGGAUGAUGCAGUUGGGAUCUCUGUUCUUCCGUGGCGGAUGCAGAGAUUUGAAGUUUUGAAUUUGUGGAUACGGUUGAUAACAAGGAGAUGAAGCUCGAUCGCAGAUGGUUGAGGAUGAAGCCGAAUCACGGAUAAGGAACGAGAACAACAUGGGAAAUCAGCGGACGAUGGAGCUGGAUGCUUGAUUUUUGGAAAGAUGACUCUGAGAUGCAGGGGAUUUGGAAGAAGCUGGGAGCUUCAAGCUUAUCCAUGGGCGAUGGAAUGGAUGUGGAUGAAGCUCACGGGCGUGAGGGAUAAUGUGAAUGGCUGGGACAUUGGGAGAUUAAGCCGGAA
rnacentral:lncRNA from 1 species